GAUGAACGCUGGCGGCGUGCUUAACACAUGCAAGUCGAGCGAGUGAGUUCUUCGGAACGAUCUAGCGGCGGACGGGUGAGUAACACGUGGGCAACCUGCCUCAUAGAGGGGAAUAGCCUCCCGAAAGGGAGAUUAAUACCGCAUAAAAUUAUCGAGUGGCAUCACAUGAUAAUCAAAGGAGUAAUCCGCUAUGAGAUGGGCCCGCGGCGCAUUAGCUAGUUGGUGAGGUAACGGCUCACCAAGGCGACGAUGCGUAGCCGACCUGAGAGGGUGAUCGGCCACAUUGGGACUGAGACACGGCCCAGACUCCUACGGGAGGCAGCAGUGGGGAAUAUUGCACAAUGGGGGAAACCCUGAUGCAGCAACGCCGCGUGAGUGAUGAAGGUCUUCGGAUUGUAAAGCUCUGUCUUCGGGGACGAUAAUGACGGUACCCAAGGAGGAAGCCACGGCUAACUACGUGCCAGCCGCCGCAGUAA
rnacentral:rRNA from 1 species